CACAUACUCCCUCCGUCCGGAAAUACUUGUCGUAGAAAUGGAUACAAAUGGAUGUAUCUCGAACUAAAAUACAUCUAGAUACAUCCAUUCCUCGGACAAGUAUUUUCAGACGGAGGGAGUAGAUA
rfam:Triticum urartu cultivar G1812 contig235427, whole genome shotgun sequence.